rnacentral:rRNA from 1 species
GACGUAGGGCGCGAGCGUUGUCCGGAUUUAUUGGGCGUAAAGAGCUCGUAGGCGGCUUGUCGCGUCGAAUGUGAAAACUCGGGGCUCAACUUCGGGCUUGCAGUCGAUACGGGCAGGCUAGAGUUCGGUAGGGGAGACUGGAAUUCCUGGUGUAGCGGUGAAAUGCGCAGAUAUCAGGAGGAACACCGAUGGCGAAGGCAGGUCUCUGGGCCGAUACUGACGCUGAGGAGCGAAAGCGUGGGGAGCGAACAGG